GUGAACGCUGGCGGUAGGCCUAACACAUGCAAGUCGAACGGCAGCACCGUAAGAGCUUGCUCUUACGGGUGGCGAGUGGCGGACGGGUGAGGAAUACAUCGGAAUCUACUUUUUCGUGGGGGAUAACGUAGGGAAACUUACGCUAAUACCGCAUACGACCUACGGGUGAAAGCAGGGGAUCUUCGGACCUUGCGCGAUUGAAUGAGCCGAUGUCGGAUUAGCUAGUUGGCGGGGUAAAGGCCCACCAAGGCGACGAUCCGUAGCUGGUCUGAGAGGAUGAUCAGCCACACUGGAACUGAGACACGGUCCAGACUCCUACGGGAGGCAGCAGUGGGGAAUAUUGGACAAUGGGCGCAAGCCUGAUCCAGCCAUACCGCGUGGGUGAAGAAGGCCUUCGGGAUGUAAAGCCCUUUUGUUGGGAAAGAAAAGCAGCAGGUUAAUACCCCGCUGUUCUGACGGUACCCAAAGAAUAAGCACCGGCUAACUUCGUG
rnacentral:rRNA from 1 species